CACGUAGGGAGCAAGCGUUGUCCGGAUUCACUGGGUGUAAAGGGUGCGCAGGCGGGAGAGUAAGUCAGAGGUGAAAUCUCACAGCUUAACUGUGAAACUGCCUUUGAUACUGCUUUUCUUGAGUUCGGGAGAGGUUGAUGGAAUUCCAGGUGUAGCGGUGAAAUGCGUAGAUAUCUGGAAGAACACCAGUGGCGAAGGCGGUCAACUGGCCCGUAACUGACGCUCAGGCACGAAAGCGUGGGUAGCGAUCCGG
rnacentral:rRNA from 1 species